UUUGGAACCGAGGCCGUUAUGAGAUCUGGAGCAAAAUAGUUCAGCUGGAACCAACUUGACCUCUGGAAAACAGGCUAUGUCUCAAGCUCAUGGAUACCCAGUUUAAGCUACUGGAUGUAUUCUGAAUCAUCCCAUUUAGUAUGGUGACGAUGUUACACAUUGCAAUGUAGCAGGUCUUCAAUGAGAAGAUGAGACUCCAUCACCAAAUGGAUGCUGCUGAGAUCACGCCUGUCAAUACUAUCAUGGAUAUCUCCAGCUGCAACAGGAAGAUUGUCAGGACAAAGCGAAAUUCUGGAAAGCAAUCCUGAAGAUUCAUGAGCAAUGCAGUGAAACUGAAAAAUCAGGGUGCUGGGUUGUAUUCAGGAACAUGGUUUGUUGGCCCUGCAGAAAAUCUUGGUCAGGCUUUACCUAGAGCAACGUAUCCAGUUCUGACCUUUUCCAAUGGAGAUGAUUAAGA